AUGGCGCAGCCGCCGCCGCCGACGGCGGUGAUACCGCGGGAGGCGUGGCAGGGGUGCAGCGUGCUCCUCGACGUCAACGACGGCGACCGCCUCGCCUUCUUCCGCCUCACCCCCGGCGCGACGGUGAAGAUAGGGGACAAGAGCUGCUCGCUGCAGCCGCUGCUCGGCCGCCCCUUCGGCUCCCUCUUCCGGGUCGGCCCCGACGGCCUCCUCCCCUGCCAAGACGAUGGUAAGCCGCGAGACGCCGGCGCCGCGCAGGAUGAGACCAGGGACAAUAGGUCCCUGGUCGACAACAACACCGCGCAGACGCUGUCCAGCGAGGACAUAGAGGCGAUGAAGCGGGAGGGUGCGAGCGGCGACGCGAUCGUGGAGGCGUUGAUAGCGAAUAGCUCCACAUUUGGAAAUAAGACCGUGUUCUCACAAGAGAAAUACAAGCUCAAGAAACAAAAGAAAUAUGCGCCUAAAGUGCUCUUGCGACGCCCCUCUACCCGAAGCAUUUGUGAGACAUAUUUCAAGAAGUAUCCAGCUCGAAUAGGGUUUAUGCGAGUUGAUACGCUCUCGCUCUUGUUGUCAAUGGCAAAUGUUGGUGCAUAUUCAGAUGUGCUUGCCGUUGAUAUGGUUGGGGGUUUAGUUGUUGGAGCUGUAGCUGAACGCUUAGGAGGUACAGGAUAUGUUUGUAGCACAUAUCUUGGAUCAGCGCCCAGCUCCAUAGACAUAAUAAGAAUGUAUAAUUUGAACAGUGAGAUGACCAGCAGGAUUUUCCAGGCACCACUUAGCGACCUGUGCUCCUUGAAAACAUCUGGCGAUGCUCCUGGUAGCAUUCAAGGUGAUGAACCUGGUGUAGUACCAGACGAGAGUUUUCAGUCAUCCCUGGAAAAACCAUCUGAUACAGAAGUAUCAGAUGGGAAUGCGCAGUCAACGACAGCGCAGCCAAUUGAUAUAGAGGCCCCUGAGCCUGCAACGGAUGAGCACCUUAAUCAAGGUGACAUUUCUAUGCCGGAUUGCAAAGGAAGUAAUGGCAAUUCAAUAGCUCCCAAAGCGCCGAGAGCAGGAAAAGCACCCUCACCGGAGAGGAUGAAAUAUUGGGGAGAACAUGGCUUUAGCAGUUUGAUUGUUGCUGCUCCGGGACAUGAGGUGGAGAGUGUGGUUGCUGAUUUGCUUCCACUCUUGUCUUAUUCGGCCCCAUUUGCCAUUUAUCACCAGUAUCUUCAGCCUCUUGCGACUUGCAUGCAUAGUUUGCAAGUAUCGAAAAUGGCUAUUGGGUUACAGAUAACUGAACCCUGGCUUCGAGAGUAUCAGGUCCUUCCAUCGCGCAGCCACCCACACAUGCAGAUGAACGCAUUUGGUGGGUAUAUCUUGAGCGGCAUCCGGGUACACAAGCCAGACCCCUUGGGAGCACGAGUGCAAGAGAAGUCAUCUGGCGCAACGGAGAGCAUGCUUGUCUCGUUGUAA
rnacentral:rRNA from 1 species